CGAGUCGGCUGGGCGGCCGCGUCGGUGCCUCCGGGCAUCGCCGAGGAACGUCCGGACUCCGCAGAGCAGGGUGGUUGUUAACGGCAACCCGGGGCGACCCGCGGGACAGUGCCACAGAGAACAGACCGCCGCCGGGGCCUCGGCCCUGGGCGGUAAGGGUGAAACGGUGAGGUAAGAGCUCACCAGCGCCCCGGGUGACCGGGGCGGCUUGGUAAACCCCACCCGGAGCAAGGCCAAGCAAGGCCGCGCCCGCAAGGACGCGACCGGCGCAGGGUUCGAGGGCUGCUCGCCUGAUCCUGCGGGUAGGCCGCAAGAGCCUGCCGGCAACGGCAGGCCGAGAUGGAUGGCCGCCACCGGGACCUCGGUCCCGGCCACAGAAUCCGGCGUACAGGCCGACUCGUCCG
rnacentral:RNase_P_RNA from 2 species